CCUACGGGUGGCAGCAGUGAGGAAUAUUGGUCAAUGGCCGGAAGGCUGAACCAGCCAUGCCGCGUGAAGGUCAGUGCCCUAUGGGCGUUAAACUUCUUUUGUGCGGGAGCAAUAAUGGUCACGUGUGGCCAGACGAGAGUACCGUACGAAUAAGCAUCGGUUAACUCCGGGUCAGCAGCCGCGGUAAUACGGGGGAUGCAAGCGUUAUCCGGAUUUAUUGGGUUUAAAGGGUGCGUAGGCUGUGAGGUAAGUCAGCGGUGAAAUGCCCCCGCUCAACGGGGUGAAGUGCCAUUGAUACUGGCUUGCGAGAAUGCGGAUGCCGUGGGAGGAAUGUGUGGUGUAGCGGUGAAAUGCAUAGAUAUCACACAGAACACCGAUUGCGAAGGCAGCUCACGAAUCCGCGAUUGACGCUGAUGCACGAAAGCGUGGGUAUCAAACAGGAUUAGAUACCCUUGUAGUC
rnacentral:rRNA from 1 species